UUAAAAGGCAAUUCCCUGUAACUGAAAUACAGACUCAUGGCCUGAAUUGGAAGGGCCCUUAAAGAUUAUCCAGUUCCAACCCCCUGCCAUGAGCAGGGACACCUUCCACUAUCCCAAGUUCUAUAAAGGCUGG